UUGUUUUAUUAUUUUGACAUGUUGGGGUUUUUCGGCAGAGUAGUAUCUUAUCCACAGCAACUCCGUCUUGGAGUUGGUUGACAGCCUCUCAGACCACAGUCCCAUCCCCACCCUCCCUUAGCUCCAUUUCUAACCAGAGUUGUCUUCUCUCUUAUCAUUUCAACAUAUACAUACAAAUAUAUAUAUAUAUAAUCUUCAAUCCUAAAUCUGCAUCAACAAUGGCGAUGUCGUUCUCGCCUGCGACUCCUGUACGCACAAUCUACCACCAUACCAACACCAACAAGCCAAACCCUCCCAAAACCCUCCUCUCCCUCCGAGAUACUAACCCCAGAGGUCCUGAUUGUGCAAAAUGUAAUUCAACUUUUCGCAAUGCCAUUUCAUGGAGCUCGGCUGCAAAUUACGUGACACUUUAUGCUGGUGCAAGAAGAUUUGCAGGGAAGCCCCACUCUGUGAAGGAAUUGUCUGAAAGAAGAACAGGAAUUUUUAGGUGUGCAACUAUUGAAGAAAUUGAAGCUGAGAAAUAUUUGAUUGAAAAAAGUGUUAAAGAAAAGAUGGAGAAGACUAUUGAAACUGUUCGGUCCAAUUUCAAUUCCAUAAGGACAGGGAGAGCAAACCCAUCCAUGUUAGAUCGGGUUGAGGUGGAGUACUAUGGGACUCCAGUCAGCUUGAAGAGCAUAGCGCAAAUUAGUACCCCUGAAGCAAGUUCUCUACUGGUGCAGCCUUACGAUAAAUCCAGCUUAAAGGCUAUAGAGAAGGCAAUAGUUAGCUCUGAUCUUGGUUUUACUCCAAAUAAUGAUGGAGAAGUCAUCCGAUUGUCCCUUCCUCAGCUGACAUCUGAAAGAAGGAAGGAAUUAUUAAAAGUUGUAUCUAAACAAGUCGAGGAAGGCAAGGUAGCAUUGAGGAAUAUAAGAAGAGAUGCCAUAAAAGCCUAUGAAAAACUCCAGAAGGAGAAAAAGCUCUCAGAAGACAAUGUAAAAGAUUUGUCAAGUGAUUUGCAGCACUUGCAAACAUAUGGCUGAAAGUCAAAGUCUCUGAAGAUUUUGCAAAAAUGAUAGAUGAAUAUAUGAAGAAAAUUGACUCCAUCUACAAACAGAAAGAGAAGGAGUUGCUGACAGUUUAACAACAGCUCGCAUGAUGACGUGAAUCAGUGACCUUCCUAUAAAAUUAGCUUCAAGGACUGUCCAUGUUUGGUUAUUACCGGUGCAUAGUAUUUGUGACAUUUUUGUUUAAAAAUCAUGUAGGAAUGUACUUUCUUUUUUUAUCAAAAUUCCCAUUUUAGGAUGGAGAAAAAGGUUGAGGAACAGUGGAAUGUAUCUCUUUAAUUUACAUAUUAAUAGACCAUAUCCUUAGUUCACAGAGGAUAUAUUGAUGAGUGUU